rnacentral:lncRNA from 1 species
AAAUAAAGCAGGCAGAGGAACGUGGAAGGACUAGACUGCCUGAGUCUUCUGACCUUCAUCUUUCCCCUGUGUUGGAUGCCUCCUGCCCUCAAACAUCAGACUCCAGGUUCUUCAGCUUUUGGACUCUUGGACCUACCCCCCGAGUGGUUUGCCAGGGGCUCUCAGGCCUUCGGCUACAGACUGAGGGCUGCAUUAUCAGCUUUCCUACUUUUGAGGUUUUGGGACUUUACUGGCUUUCUUGCUCCUCAACUUGCAGAUGGCCUGUUGUGGGACCUCACCUUGUGAUCAUGUACAUGAGGGAAAUACACACCCCUCCCAGGGAUGAUGGAAGGUUAAGGUCCUAACACCUCCUGCACAUCUGAGCAGCUGCACAUUGAACCAGAUAGUCCUGGAAUGUGGGAAAACAGAGGCAGACUCAAGAGUCUGGAACAUUAUUUUAGGAUCACACAAAAAAGAUACAUAAUUUUCAUAGGUCGUUAGCAAAUGAAUGCAAGAACAGAAAGUCAAGUGCUGCAUGUUCUCACUUGUAAGUGGGAGUGAAACGAUGAGAACUCCUGAACACAAAGAGGGAAACAACCGGCACUAAGGGUGAGUCUGUUACAGCAAUGGGAUGCCCAGGUUAAGUUUAUGGAAAGACAUGAUACUGAAAGCAUCUCAAAAAUAAAAUCACGAGUAUCUGCAGGUCACUAUGAGACUGGACUGGAACAUUACCUUCAGGCACAUUGAUAUGACUACAUGCUGGACAUUUUCUUGCGGAAAUCCAAAAGAAAUCCCCAUUUUCUUGCAGAAAUCUAAAAUAAUCUCCCCUAUGUGCAAGUCAGACUGAGCACCACUCCCAAGACCAUGACCUCCCCUGCAGCCCUGCUCCUUCCCACUCACCUCUCCUCUUGAGAAAGCCACCUCCCACCACCCAGUCUGCAGUGCCAGAAAACUGGAAACCAGCCCCUAAGCUGCUUUCACCUUCGGCCCAUUUCUCACUAGCCAGCCUCUCCCACGGCCUCCCCAGUUUCUUCAAAUACACCCCCUCCACUAUUCACCAUACUGCCACCGUGAUUUAUUUACAACUUUUUGUCCGGAUUACCUCAGUAGCCUUCUAAUUGUCCCCUUUGCAUCUAAAGUAGCCCCUCUCAUCCCCCAAAUCUUACGUCACUCUUCUACAUAAUUCUGGCUUUCCAUGACCCAUAAACCACAUUUCUCAAGUGUGCUCUAUGCUGGCUUGAAUAUGUUAAUAAUCUUAAUUCUACUUUUAGUGCAAUUUUCUUAGAGCUGGCAUCACUUUCAUCAUGACGUGAGAACUUACUAGAGAUAGGCAAUGAUGACUCACAGUCAAGCCACAUGUCAUAUGCUGCAGACAUCUGGACUGCUGCUUAUUUGCAAAUCCUUUUCUUCAUAUUUUUCUCAUUUGUAGCACUGGAUCAAUUCCAAUUAAGAGUUUAAUAAUGAAUUAACUAAUGAUUUAAACAGGUGGAUAAGACUAACACUGAACCAAUGAUUUUAAGUAAAUCUAAAUACAUAAAUCCCCCCAAAUUAUUAAUCUAUGUUGUUUACUAAGAAGUGUAUUAAAAUGAUAUUGAAAAAGUUUGCUUUGGGAAAGAGCUAGAAGUUAGAAGGUCUAGGUUCAAAUCCCGCCUCUACUCCAUCCUUGACUAAGAUGUUGGACCCAUCACCUCAACUUUCCUUGGGUCUUUUUGCCCAGACAUGACCCGAUGACACAGAGCUUACCUGGACCUCCACAAUAGUAAAUAGAACAGGGCCAGCAAACCAAAAUUUGUUGAGUCCUUUAGAAUUAAGUAGCUUAGAUAAAUUUUCAUCAAAAUCUUUAUAUAGUAGGGAAUAGAAAAAAGUCAAUUCUGUUUUAUUUGAGGAUGUAUGAAUAUGUUACCAUUUUUCAGACUCUGAUUUACCUUCCAAUUAUUGUUUAUUGGGGUCAUUGUAAAUUAGUUAUCAUUUUUUGAAUACACAUUCACUGCUGACAAAGUGGUGAAGCCAGAAGUUAUGUUUGACCAGGGAAGAUUAUGACCCUCAAAGGAGAAAAAUUCACAGGGGGUAGUUGAUUAUUGGUGGAAUGGAGUGAGAGUGAAUUCCUUAAAAGUUUAAACGAAAGCAGAACUAUAUUCAUAUCAUGGAGGGAACUUAGUUUCUAAUAUGAUGAACUAUUGCCCCAAGUCAUGACAAUACCUUGCUCUCUGGAAGAGAAUGAGUGAGUUUUUCAUCCGCCAAGAUACACACUCUAUAUUUCCAACCAUCACAUCUGCCUUGCAGGCUGACUGAACCCAGAGCAAAUCAAUCACAAAAGUUAAUCCAAAAGACUUCCCUUCAGCUGCUGGAAAUCAGUCAUCACAUCUGUGAAAAGAGUGCUAGUUAUAACAAAUGAGAUCACAAAUUUGACCAUUUUAUUAGACACCCUCUAUUAGUGUUAACAGACAAAGAUGAAGGUUAAGUUGAAAUCAAAUUGAAAUCUUCUUCCCUCUGUACAGAUUGCAAUAUCUGAUAAUACCCUCAACUUUCUUGGUGCAAAUUAAUUGCCUGGUACUCACAGUCCAGUGUUAACAGGCAAUAAUGGUGUGAUUCCAGAGGAGAGUACUAGGUGGCAGGAAAAUAAAUGAGAUUAGCAGUAUUUGACUUGGAGCCAUAGGCAUCAAUUCUGCUCCAGCUGUCGACCAGGUUCUAAAAACAAGACUCGGAGCAGCUUUUGCUCUUGCUAGUGAUGCAGGGCCAGGAGAGCCCCCACACUCUGCAUUUGCAGGUGUCCAUGAGGGGAAGCCACUCCUGCAUUUAUCCUGUGAGUGGAGAAGCUCAGAGGAAUGAGGACAUUCCAACAGGGUAUCAGAAUUCUCUUUUGUUUAUGCUAAUUGACAGCAGGAACAUCACCAUCUUGGACAAACACCACCAUUUUAAGUUCUCUUUUAUUUAAAAACUGCCUAAAUCCAGCCCCAAAACAUCAGCCUAAUGGCUAUUGUCAGCAUAAUCAGAAACAUUCCAACCCUAAGAUAAACACCCCUCUGGCCAGAAAUAUGCCGACCCCGAGACAGCCUCCCCUCCGACCAGAGACAUUCCAAACCCGCAGUAAACUUUCCUUCACAUGGAAACAUUCCAAACCUACAAAAAGCUUCCCUCUUCCUAAACCCUUAAAUAUCCUUAGUCUGCAAGAGAGAAUGCUCCUGACUGAAAUCAGCCAGAAGCCCCUCUCAGGUUUAUUCUCCAAAAUAAACCUGUCUUUGACUGUUGAGCCAC